rnacentral:rRNA from 12 species
CGAUAGGGCGAUGCGGGGACGCUGCCAUGCGCCGGAUUAUAACUGAACGCCUCUAAGUUAGAAUCCAUGCCGGAAGGAAAGCGGUCCACCGCGCGGGGGAAGCCACGCGCAACCGUAUCGCACGAGCCGUGAGCGACCACAAUUUCCUGACCCCGCGCGAUGAAUCCCUUGCAGACGACUUGAAUAUGGAACGGGGUAUUGUACGCGGCAGAGUGGCCCUGUUGCCACGAUCCGCUGAGAUUCAGCCUUGGUUCUGAAGAUUU